GCGGGUCUGAGAGGAUGAUCCGCCACACUGGGACUGAGACACGGCCCAGACUCCUACGGGAGGCAGCAGUGGGGAAUAUUGGACAAUGGGGGGAACCCUGAUCCAGCCAUGCCGCGUGUGUGAAGAAGGCCUUUUGGUUGUAAAGCACUUUAAGCGAGGAGGAGGCUCUUCUAGUUAAUACCUAGGAUGAGUGGACGUUACUCGCAGAAUAAGCACCGGCUAACUCUGUGCCAGCAGCCGCGGUAAUACAGAGGGUGCGAGCGUUAAUCGGAUUUACUGGGCGUAAAGCGUACGUAGGCGGCUUUUUAAGUCGGAUGUGAAAUCCCUGAGCUUAACUUAGGAAUUGCAUUCGAUACUGGGAAGCUAGA
rnacentral:rRNA from 1 species